CCUACGGGAGGCAGCAGUGAGGAAUAUUGGUCAAUGGGCGUAAGCCUGAACCAGCCAAGUCGCGUGAGGGAUGAAGGUCCUAUGGAUCGUAAACCUCUUUUAUAGGGGAACAAAGGGCGGGACGUGUCCUGUUCUGGAUGUACCCUAUGAAAAAGGAUCGGCUAACUCCGUGCCAGCAGGCGCGGUAAUACGGAGGAUCCGAGCGUUAUCCGGAUUUAUUGGGGUUAAAGGGUGCGCAGGCGGCAUGUUAAGUCAGCGGUGAAAGUUAGAGGCUCAACCGCGGAUUGGCGGUGAAAACGGGGGGCUUGAGUGGGUGAGAAGCAGGCGGAAUGCGUGGUGUAGCGGUGAAAUGCAUAGAUAUCACGCAGAACCCCGAUUGCGAAGGCAGCCUUCCGGGGCGCGACUGACGCUGAUGCACGAAAGCGUGGGGAUCGAACAGGAUUAGAUACCCCUGUAGUC
rnacentral:rRNA from 1 species